rnacentral:autocatalytically_spliced_intron from 1 species
UCUUUAUUUGUAUUAUUUAUGUUCGAGUCUCGUUUUUUCCCUCAUAAUUAUAUAAGCACCUUUCUUUAUGUCUACAUCAUACAAGCCGGGCUCAGCCCGCAUACGCACUUUCCCUCUCCCGCGCACUCUCUCCGCAUCAUGUUUCGGUGGUGGGACUCCACCGUUAGGUGGUGCGGAUUGAAGCACCGGGGCUGGUGGCACCUGUGGGAGACGGACUUUCCCUUCUCUAACAUCCCCACCACGUCUUCCCAUCCCCCCCAGGCACGGAUCGCGAGGCGAUGAAGCAGCUGGGGCAUGCGGCGCGGCGUUUGAGCUCCAGCCCCAUUGGGCGCCCGAGUCGUCAUCCUCGGAAAUAAGGGCGCCAUUUGCACAUGGCCGCCGUGUGCUUGCCCUCGCCCGGUUGCUAACCAGCAUCCAAGCUGGUUCGUAGAUGCUGGGGAGGUCGCGGGCGCUGGUCCUCGGGCGGGAAGGCCGUUGCACUGUCCCAGCAGCGAUCUCACCGCCACGGGGGGCGUGCAAACCUCCCACAGCUCACGCUCUGUCUUGGACGCUGUGCUGGGCCAGCGUACCGUCGCGCCAUCUGGCACCUGGGUCGUCGCCAGGCCUCUGGCCAAGCCUGCUAGGCUUGCAGGCCUGGACGAUGCGGCGGGGGCGGUAGUGGUAAUGGUGGUGGUGGUGGUGGUGGUGGUGAUACCGUUAGCAGCGGUGCUGGUCGAGACGACGGUGGUAGUGGUAGUGGUGGUGGUUUCACCUCCCAGCCCGCUACCGUCUUCUCCGGCGCUGCCCUCGCCGCUGCCGCCGCCGUCUUCCUCCCCCGGGCUCUUCCUCUUUCUUCCUCCGCUUACCGCGGCCCUUACCGGGCUGUCCUGGGCACUGGGGGCGGCAAAGUACGAGGUGAUGGUGCCUUGGCCGGGGGGGGCCGGCGGGUGCGCUGUUUUUUAGCGGGCAUGGCGAAUGGAGACUGAUACUGAGAUCAAGAGAAAGAGACUACAGCAAGGGGGGGUUUCGGGGGUUCUAGGGUGAGCGACGAGGAGAGCAGAGUCUCUGGAGCCAUGUUAGAAAUGCAGACUCUUGCCGGCCUCGCUCGCUCGCUCUUACUCUCUCACCUCCUCCCUUUGUCGAGAGGGAAGGAAGCCCUCUGCUACCUGUGGGAUAUCGUCUCUAUCUGGUAUCGCUUCAUCACCAUGCCUGUCGCUUUCCAUUCUACCCGUUGCUCUCUUCCUUUUUCCCCUUAUUAAUUUAUUUGCUUUUGCCCACUCCUUAUUUACCGAGGCCUUUUUGCUAACGAGAUUUUCAGGUGGAGUGAU